UGGGGAAUAUUGGACAAUGGGCGAAAGCCUGAUCCAGCCAUGCCGCGUGUGUGAAGAAGGUCUUCGGAUUGUAAAGCACUUUAAGUUGGGAGGAAGGGCUGUAAGCGAAUACCUUGCUGUUUUGACGUUACCGACAGAAUAAGCACCGGCUAACUCUGUGCCAGCAGCCGCGGUAAUACAGAGGGUGCAAGCGUUAAUCGGAAUUACUGGGCGUAAAGCGCGCGUAGGUGGUUCGUUAAGUUGAAUGUGAAAGCCCCGGGCUCAACCUGGGAACUGCAUCCAAAACUGGCGAGCUAGAGUAGGGCAGAGGGUGGUGGAAUUUCCUGUGUAGCGGUGAAAUGCGUAGAUAUUGGAAGGAACACCAGUGGCGAAGGCGACCACCUGGGCUCAUACUGACACUGAGGUGCGAAAGCGUGGGGAGCAAACAGG
rnacentral:rRNA from 1 species